GGGGCUUUAGCUCAGCUGGGAGAGCGUGCGACUGAAGAUCGUACGGUCCCGUGUUCGAACCACGGAAGCCCCA
rnacentral:tRNA from 2 species